rnacentral:rRNA from 1 species
GACGAACGCUGGCGGCGUGCUUAACACGUGCAAGUCGAACGGUAAGGCCCUUCGGGGUACACGAGUGGCGAACGGGUGAGUAACACGUGGGUGAUCUGCCCUGCACUUCGGGAUAAGCCUGGGAAACUGGGUCUAAUACCGGAUAGGACCACUGCCUGCAUGGGUGGUGGUGGAAAGCUUUUGCGGUGUGGGAUGGGCCCGCGGCCUAUCAGCUUGUUGGUGGGGUGAUGGCCUACCAAGGCGACGACGGGUAGCCGGCCUGAGAGGGUGACCGGCCACGCUGGGACGGCGCUACGGCUCAGACUCCUACGGGAGGAAGCAGUGGGGACUAUUGCACAAAGGGCGCCAGCCCGAUGCAGCGACGCCGCGUGAGGGAUGACGGCCUUCGGGUUGUAAACCUCUUGCAGCACCGACGAAGCGCAAGUGACGGUAGGUGCAGAAGAAGGACCGGCCAACUACGUGCCAGCCGCCGCGGUAA